AAAUUGUUCAACACACUAUACAACCAAUGUACAAUUUGAAAGUGCUUUAAAUGAUAGACAAAUUUUAAAAUAAUAAUUUUUGGAAUUUUCACAACUACAGUCGAAGAACCCGGUAUGUCCUUGACCGCAUGUCUCCUUGGCAUCAUGCUCACAGCUACAGUCCUUUUGGAUGGCCUUCCAGUUUCUAAGCCAAAUGGACCAGGAAAAGCAAAAUUGUUUUCUUACGCCGAGUUUGGUUUUUGUCUGGAGAAGCAUCUGAAUGGAUCCACCGUCUGUACAGAAUUCGCCAUGGAGUGCAUGGAUUAUUGUAACUCACUACAACCCGUGAAAAUUUGACUUUAUAAAACUCUUUCAGAGUUGUCCAUCUUUAAUACUGAUUGAAAUGAUUCAAAUCGUU